UACGUAGGGACCAAGCGUUGUUCGGAUUUACUGGGCGUAAAGGGCGCGUAGGCGGCAUGACAAGUCACUUGUGAAAUCUCCGGGCUUAACUCGGAACGGCCAAGUGAUACUGUCAAGCUAGAGUGCAGAAAGGGCAAUCGGAAUUCUUGGUGUAGCGGUGAGAUGCGUAGAUAUCGGGAGGAACACCGGUGGCGAAGGCGGCGACCUGGGUCGAGACUGACGCUGAGGCGCGAAAGCGUGGGGAGCAAACAGG
rnacentral:rRNA from 1 species